rnacentral:siRNA from 1 species
AUUCGUUGUGGGACGUUGAACCCA